CCUACGGGGGGCAGCAGUAGGGAAUCUUCCACAAUGGGCGAAAGCCUGAUGGAGCAACGCCGCGUGGGUGAAGAAGGUCUUCGGAUCGUAAAACCCUGUUGUUAGAGAAGAAAGUGCGUGAGAGUAACUGUUCACGUUUCGACGGUAUCUAACCAGAAAGCCACGGCUAACUACGUGCCAGCAGCCGCGGUAAUACGUAGGUGGCAAGCGUUAUCCGGAUUUUUUGGGCGUAAAGGGAACGCAGGCGGUCUUUUAAGUCUGAUGUGAAAGCCUUCGGCUUAACCGGUGUAGUGCUUUGGAAACUGUGAGACUUGAGUGCAGAAGCGGAGAGUGGAACGCCAUGUGUAGCGGUGAAAUGCGUAGAUAUAUGGAAGAACACCAGUGGCGAAAGCGGCUCUCUGGUCUGUAUCUGACGCUGAGGUUCGAAAGCGUGGGUAGCAAACAGGAUUAGAUACCCGAGUAGUC
rnacentral:rRNA from 1 species